rnacentral:hammerhead_ribozyme from 1 species
AUCCAUCUGAAGAGUCCCAAUAUUAGGACGAAACACGCAUCUUGGAU